GUGACUGUCAACUAGAGUGUAGCAGAGGGGGGUAGAAUUCCACGUGUACAGUGAAAUGCGUAGAUAUGUGGAGGAAUACCAAUGGCGAAGGCAGCCCCCUGGGUUAACACUGACGCUCAUGCACGAAAGCGUGGGGAGCAAACAGGAUUAGAUACCCUGGUAGUCCACGCCCUAAACGAUGUCAACUAGGUGUUGGGGAAGGAGACUUCUUUAGUACCGCAGCUAACGCGUGAAGUUGACCGCCUGGGGAGUACGGUCGCAAGGUUAAAACUCAAAGGAAUUGACGGGGACCCGCACAAGCGGUGGAUUAUGUGGAUUAAUUCGAUGCAACGCGAAAAACCUUACCUACCCUUGACAUGUCAGGACAGAUUCCAGAGAUGGGAUUGGUGCCCGAACAGGGAACCUGAACACAGGUGCUGCAUGGCUGUCGUCAGCUCGUGUCGUGAGAUGUUGGGUUAAGUCCCGCAACGAGCGCAACCCUUGUCAUUAAUUGCCAUCAUUCAGUUGGGCACUUUAAUGAGACUGCCGGUGAUAAACCGGAGGAAGGUGGGGAUGACGUCAAGUCCUCAUGGCCCUUAUGGGUAGGGCUUCACACGUAAUACAAUGGUCGGUACAGAGGGUUGCCAACCCGCGAGGGGGAGCCAAUCCCAGAAAGCCGAUCGUAGUCCGGAUUGUAGUCUGCAACUCGACUACAUCAAGUCGGAAUCGCUAGUAAUCGCGGAUCAGCAUGUCGCGGUGAAUACGUUCCCGGGUCUUGUACACACCGCCCGUCACACCAUGGGAGUGGAAUCUGCCAGAAGUAGGUAGCCUAACCGCAAGGAGGGCGCUUACCACGGUGGGUUUCAUGAC
rnacentral:rRNA from 1 species